rnacentral:rRNA from 1 species
ACCCCGCUGAAACUUAAGCCAUAUCAAUAAGCGGAGGAAAAGAAACCUAACAAGGAUUCCCCUAGUAACUGCGAGUGAAGCGGGAAAAGCUCAAAUUUAAAAUCUGGCGGUCUUUGGCCGUCCGAGUUGUAGUCUGGAGAAGUGCUUUCCGCGCUGGACCGUGUAUAAGUCUCUUGGAACAGAGCGUCAUAGAGGGUGAGAAUCCCGUCUUUGACACGGACUACCAGUGCUUUGUGAUGCGCUCUCGAAGAGUCGAGUUGUUUGGGAAUGCAGCUCAAAAUGGGUGGUAAAUUCCAUCUAAAGCUAAAUAUUGGCGAGAGACCGAUAGCGAACAAGUACCGUGAGGGAAAGAUGAAAAGCACUUUGGAAAGAGAGUUAAACAGUACGUGAAAUUGCUGAAAGGGAAACGCUUGAAGUCAGUCGCGUCUGCCGGAACUCAGCCUUGCUUUGGCUUGGUGCAUUUUCCGGUAGACGGGCCAGCAUCGAUUUUGACCGUCGGAAAAGGGCUAGAGAAAUGUGGCACCUUCGGGUGUGUUAUAGUCUCUGGUCGCAUACGGCGGUUGGGAUCGAGGAACGCAGCGCGCCGCAAGGCAGGGGUUCGCCCACUUUCGCGCUUAGGAUGCUGGCGUAAUGGCUUUAAACGACCCGUCUUGAAACACGGACCAAGGAGUCUAACAUGCCUGCGAGUGUUUGGGUGGUAAACCCGAGCGCGUAAUGAAAGUGAAAGUUGAGACCUCUGUCGUGGAGGGCAUCGACGCCCGGACCUGACGUUCUCUGAAGGAUCCGCGGUAGAGCAUGUAUGUUGGGACCCGAAAGAUGGUGAACUAUGCCUGAAUAGGGUGAAGCCAGAGGAAACUCUGGUGGAGGCUCGUAGCGAUUCUGACGUGCAAAUCGAUCGUCAAAUUUGGGUAUAGGGGCGAAAGACUAAUUCGAAACCCCUAGUCAGCUGGUUCCUGCCGAAGUUUCCCCUCAGGA